ACUUGAGUUCAAGAUCACUUGGGUGCGUGUGGGGAAACCCGCACGAUAGAACUGCUCAAAUUCGGGGAACCCUUUAACAUGGCAAUCCCGAGCCAAGCCUUCGGGACAAACGCCUCGAAGGAAGGUGUAGAGACUAGACGGGCAGCACCUAAACCCCUCGCCGGGGCAUGGUGAAGGGAUAGUCCAGACCACAAACACUGGAG
rnacentral:ncRNA from 1 species